GCUGGGAGUCCAGUUUGUUCCAGUUCUUAGUGUGGGGUUUCGCUCUGCAAUUUGGGGAGGUUCUCCAUUCGGGAAUAAAGGAGCAUUCCUCCCAUACUGCACUCCUCUCUGGAUAGAACACAGUGAGACAUCAGAAGAAAUAGCCCCUAACGGACUCUACUUGGUAACGCCAAAGAAGAUGUGAGCAAUAAUCGUGACUGGAAACUCCACACAGGACAUCGUAUCUCGCGCUCUCCGGCAGCCACUGUCAAAAGAGGUCCAUCGAACCACCACCCACCAUCCGUCAAUCAAUCGGUCAGGGAUCUGUCUUUACCGAGCACCGCGGUAGAAGAUAAUCAGGAUACCUACGAAACAGAGGAUGGCGAACAAGAGCAGCGGGGCAGCGGAGAGAAGGAGCAGCCAUCGCCAUCCCAGGCUGGGCAUCAC